GACGGAGGAUGCAAGUGUUAUCCGGAAUCACUGGGCGUAAAGCGUCUGUAGGUGGUUUAAAAAGUCCACUGUUAAAGGUUGAAGCUUAACUUCAAAAAUGCCGUGGAAACUUUUAAACUUGAGUAUGAUAGGGGUAGAGGGAAUUUCCAGUGGAGCGGUGAAAUGCGUAGAUAUUGGAAAGACCACCGAUGGCGAAGGCACUCUACUGGGCCAUUACUGACACUGAGAGACGAAAGCUAGGGGAGCAAACGGG
rnacentral:rRNA from 1 species